CGGCCUGAAGAGGGUGGACCGGCACCAUUGGGACUGAGGACCACCGGCCAGACUCUACGGGAGCAGCAGUGGGAUAUUGCACAUGGGCGCAAGCCUGAUGCAGCGACGCGCGGUGGAGGGAUGACGGCCUUCGGGUUGUAAACUCUUUCAGUAGGGAAGAAGCGAGAGUGACGGUACUGCAGAAGAAGCGCCGGGCUAACUACGUGCCAGCAGCCGCGGUAAUACGUAGGGCGCAAGCGUUAUCCGGAAUUAUUGGGCGUAAAGAGCUCGUAGGCGGUUUGUCGCGUCUGCCGUGAAAGUCCGGGGCUCAACUCCGGAUCUGCGGUGGGUACGGGCAGACUAGAGUGAUGUAGGGGAGACUGGAAUUCCUGGUGUAGCGGUGAAAUGCGCAGAUAUCAGGAGGAACACCGAUGGCGAAGGCAGGUCUCUGGGCAUUAACUGACGCUGAGGAGCGAAAGCAUGGGGAGCGAACAGGAUUAGAUACCCUGGUAGUCCAUGCCGUAAACGUUGGGCACUAGGUGUGGGGGACAUUCCACGUUUUCCGCGCCGUAGCUAACGCAUUAAGUGCCCCGCCUGGGGAGUACGGCCGCAAGGCUAAAACUCAAAGGAAUUGACGGGGGCCCGCACAAGCGGCGGAGCAUGCGGAUUAAUUCGAUGCAACGCGAAGAACCUUACCAAGGCUUGACAUGAACCGGACCGGGCUGGAAACAGUCUUUCCCCUUGUGGGCUGGUUUACAGGUGGUGCAUGGUUGUCGUCAGCUCGUGUCGUGAGAUGUUGGGUUAAGUCCCGCAACGAGCGCAACCCUCGUUCUAUGUUGCCAGCACGUGAUGGUGGGGACUCAUAGGAGACUGCCGGGGUCAACUCGGAGGAAGGUGGGGACGACGUCAAAUCAUCAUGCCCCUUAUGUCUUGGGCUUCACGCAUGCUACAAUGGCCGGUACAAAGGGUUGCGAUACUGUGAGGUGGAGCUAAUCCCAAAAAGCCGGUCUCAGUUCGGAUUGGGGUCUGCAACUCGACCCCAUGAAGUCGGAGUCGCUAGUAAUCGCAGAUCAGCAACGCUGCGGUGAAUACGUUCCCGGGCCUUGUACACACCGCCCGUCAAGUCACGAAAGUUGGUAACACCCGAAGCCGGUGGCCUAACCCCUUGUGGGAGGGAGCCGUCGAAGGGGUAUGG
rnacentral:rRNA from 1 species